AUGGCCCCCCUGGACUGCCUGCUCUUGCACCCGCUCCUUCGGCCUCGCUCCGUGUCCCUGAGCCUCCUGCUUCGCAGUUUUCCAACUCAGGCACAGAACCACAAGGAAGGAAGUCCAAGAACAGACAAACUAGCGGUUCCUGAAGUCCCAUCACCUUCUUAUCUCCAACACCAUGAGUGCUGUGCUGCUAGCAUUUUAAUGGGGUGCUCCCAGAGAAGGAUCCCACACCUCGUGAUCUCGUUUUCUACCUCGUCACCCCUAUAACCCCUGGCUCCCUCCAGCGCUCUCAAGAAAUCCCUUGCAGAUGAGAAGGCGAGAAGGGAGGUGGCAAGCAGGGACGUAUGCAGGUACCGAUCGGCCAGCUGCCCGCUGGGUUGAGUCUCAGCUCAGUUUUCUCACCUCCAUUCAGAGCAAGUUCCUUUGGGUCUCCCCGCUGCCUCUCUGCCCCAACCUUGUAGGAACUAAAUUUUCUAAGACCUCAAUCCCUUUUCCAAAUUUGGGUGAGAAUGGCUAAUGGAUUGAAGUGUUAUUGGGAGUGGGGGGGUUGUUGGGAAAAAGAUGGUCCAGACAGACUGAGAUAUAGGUCUGUUUCCCUAGGAAACUAAGCCAAAAAAAUGCAGUUGAGCAAACAYAGGCACGUUUUGUAACUCUUGUAGUCCCUGUGUAUAGCAUGGUGUGAAGUAAAAGGUGCUGGUCCUCAUAUUUGAGCUUUUAACUCUGCUGACAACUCUCCAUUUUUUUUGGCAUGUCACAGAAUUUUUUGCCUCAGGUCCCUCCCUGGUAAAAUGGAGAAAGUGGACAUCUCUGUGGGCUAUCAGGCUCUUUGGGUUAACUAUAGACACGUGGAGAGGACUGUGCAACAGGGCCCCCGACUUGGCUGAGGCCUUUGUGUUUCUGGAACACAAACAACCAAUAACUUACAGUUUGUAAUAAUCUCAGUGUGUAUCUAUUUACAUAGCUGUUUAGUCCAUAAAUGUUUCUCAUGAAGGCUCUUUCCAAAGUAUGUUGACUACAUAAGGCAAUUGCUAUGCAUUUCUCCAGCUUUGGGGUUCCUUUCUGAAGCAAAUUUAAGUUCCCAAAUCCAAGCUAACCAGCGGUCCUGACAGUAUUUGGAGCUCUAAAAAUGAGCAUUAGGUUUUUUGAAAUUGUUCCCGUUUCUAACUGGCAACCAAAGGAAAGCUCUUCAUGUAGAGAGAAUGAACAAAAUAUAUGGUUAAGUAAUGGUUGUGACUUAUGCUUUGCCAAGCAGAGACAGGUCAAAUGA
rnacentral:lncRNA from 1 species